rnacentral:rRNA from 1 species
AUUGAACGCUGGCGGCAGGCCUACCACAUGCAAGUCGAGCGGAGCGGCGGACGGGUGAGUAAUGCCUAGGAAUCUGCCUGGUAGUGGGGGAUAACGUCCGGAAACGGGCGCUAAUACCGCAUACUCUAAGAUGAGCCUAGGUCGGAUGAGCUGGUUGGUGGGUUAAAGGCCUACCAAGGCGACGAUCCGUAACUGGUCUGAGAGGAGGAUCAGCCACACUGGAACGGGGAACCGGUCCAGACUCCUACGGGAGGGAGCAUGGGGGAAUAUUGGACAAUGGGCGAAAGCCUGAUCCAGCCAUGCCGCGUGUGUGAAGAAGGUCUUCGGAUUGUAAAGCACUUUAAGUUGGGAGGCGUUACCAACAGAAUAAGCACCGGCUAACUUCGUGCCAGCAGCCGCGGUAAUUC